GCUAGAUAUACAUUUAACACAUUAAAAUUAAGUAAGAUUAUUGGCUUCGACUGUAGUUUAAAAAUAUUUUUCCAAACAUAUUCUCAGAUGAAACACAAGCAAAUUCGUGUUAUUCAGUGCAAAAUACUUUGUGGUGGGCUUAAGUUAAACUCAACGUAUAUUUCUUAUAUAUAAUUUUUUUCAUCUAAAGAUUUUGACUUCGGCCUCUUAAUAAACAAGUUGUCUUUUGCAAACGACUCCCUAAAUGGUAAUAAAGCCAAUCCUCUCCUUUGCACGACAAAUAUUUCUUUACCCAGGAAUGAUGCUGCGCCGAAAAUAUUAGCUUAGGAAUGUGGGCGGAGGUUCUCUGCGGCCACAAAAUACAGCAGAAGUAACUGGCCUGUGUAAGCGGAUGGGCUCGGCCUCAAGGACAGGGUGCUCGGCUGAAAAAAAAGCUAGCGGCGAUCACCGGUGCCAGGGCUCUCCAGAAACGGAGCCCAUCUAACCAAUGCCCAGCACACUCGCUCUGCUCCACACACGAGACCACCUCCGACCCGCACUAAGUUGGCCAACUGCACUCUGGAGGCGGCGGCAGCCAGCGAGGGAGAAGGGAAAGGCUGUCCCGGGACCCCGAGGAGGACUGCCCCGCCCCCGGGAACCGGGUGCGGCGUAAAACAACCCCGGCUCCGGGCCGACCCUUCCUGGCCCCUUGGAGGCCCAGGCGGGGCGGCGGGGGGCGACGCGGCAGGGGUCUCCGCGCCCAGGCUCCCGCGGAGCGGCCACACGUGGAGGUUCCCACUUUGGGGUCGCGGCCGCAGCAGCACCGGGCGGGAUGCUGUCCGCGCUGCCCGCGUACGGCCGCGGCCUGAGUGGAGACGCCUGCCCCCAGCCCCGAGGCCUCGGCCCCCGUCCGCCCUCUCUCCCUGCUCGGCGGCCUCGUACUCACGCUGACUUCAUGGCAGCAGGCUCCACGCCGCCCAAACGCGCAUGCGGGACGGCUGGCUGGCGAAGACUGCGGGACGUUAGGACCGGCAGCAAGAACUAGAACUUCGCGGCUAAGGCGCGGUGCUCUGCGAAGCCGGCGGCGACGCUAAGAGCCCAGGUGAGCUCCCGCCUGGCGCAUUUCAAACGGGCCAAUCAGCGCCCGUCCGCAGGGAGAGGCAGGACCUCCGCGGAAGUGACUUCGCUGCCGGAAGUGGCGCUUGUCUCCUAGGCGACCGACGCUGAAAGGGCCGCGGAGUCGCGUGUCAGGGCUGGAGGGAGAUCUUGAGAUCACUUCAAACUUAAGUGAGCUCAGGUUCAUCUGGAGGAUGACUCGGCCUCUGUUGCUGUGACCCCCCAGAAGCUCAGGAAAACAACUGACUUCCUGGUGUUGCCAACAGGCAGAGAGGAGAUGCAGCCAGUCCUUACCCUGUAGAAGAUGGGGAGGGAGUCCCAGGUGUACGGAUAAGCAAAGGCGAGGACACGAAUCACCUUACAGAGUCUGGGCUUCUGGAUUUCAAGAAACCUAAAUCAGGGAAGGAAAGUGGGGAGGAAAUGGAAUGAAAAGAGUCUCAGCAAAUUGCAUACGCACAUGCAUGCACACCGAGGGCCUGGUCAUCAACAGAGGACAAGCAUUUUUCUACAAGCUCCUGUGGCCAGCAGCUUCUCCACCAGCCUCGUCCAUUCCUCCCACCCCAAUGGAAGUGACAAAACUUCAGAUGCAAAAAGAUCUCCAGGGACACCAUCUCCUGACCAUGGGAAGCAGUGGUGUCCAGACUAAGCCAGAAAGGAGGCGCUGGGCAGAAACCCUUCAAGGGCCAAGUUAUGUAACUGCCAAAGAACCUUUUAAAACUCUAGUUGCUACAGGGACAGGGAACGGGUAGGGGGAAUCGGGGGAUCCACUGCCACAGACUCUUGGGGGGCACACUCUGCAGAGGCUGAGAUGCACCCAUCUAGUUGGAGCCCAGGUAUUAUCAUGCAGGAGACCUGGGUUCAAGUAGGUGUUUGACCCUUGGAGAGCUUUCUGGAAUAUUUAUACCACACACAGGGAUACUUGGCUUGGGAAAACUAAAUAAACGUGAAGUCUUUCCUUCUCUUCUUCAUUGCCACCCUCACCCAACCUCCAAUCCAAAGACAGCUGACAGCAACAUUAAAACAAGUGAUGCUGAUUGUUGAGAAGAGAGGCAGGUCCCCCCAGACAGAACAUGACAGGGCCUCAGCUGACUUGGGCCCAGCCUGGGGCAGCAGCUCAGGGUAUGGGGAACUGGGUAGCACAGACAGCAGGCUGCACACUGGGAGGACAUGGGGAGGGGCAGGGAGGGUCUCUGCACAAAAUCACAGCCCUGAACUGAGGCCUGGGUAAGGAAGUGCUCAUGGGCCCUGGCUGGGCCACCAAGGCCAGGUAGUAGGGACAGGUAAAGUCCCCACAUCAAUGCUGAGGUGUACUGUGGAGGGCUGUGUCCUCCCUUGGGGCCCACAGGGCUGCAGGGUAAGGAACCCAGCACAGUGGAUGCACAGCCACACGCUGAGGCUCUUGGGAUGGCUGUUCUGAUGCAGUCUGUAAAGGCAAUGCAUGCAUCUGGGCCCUUUCAGCCUUUGCUGACAGUUCUGCCCCCUAUCACACUGGAGGGAUGGGGUCUGUGUCCUGCUGUGGCUCCUAUCUCUGCUCCCAAGAACCUCGGUCCCAGUCCACAAGCCUGUUCCUUCUCCUUCAAAUGCCAUCUGCUGUUUCCUCUGAGCCCAGACCGAUUUCACCUGGCCAGGCUGUUCAUAUCUCGUAUGAGCCAGUAAAGCCACCUGACCAUAAACCCAGCUGCUGCCUGUAUCUCUCAGCAUGGAGUAUGCAGGGACUUCCACAUUGGGCAGUUAGGGAACCCUCCUCAGGCAGGUGCCAGAUCUGGUCAGGCCUGGAUCCUGGGGACCCAGCACAGAAGCAGGUCUGAGGAUGCGGACAUUCUCCAGGCUAUUGUGCUCCACUCAGUCCUCAGGGCAACCGAGCACAAAUGGCCCACCCGGAGAUUCCUGUUUCAGGAGAAAGGGACACCACUGUGUGCCCGGAGAAGCCCCACAGCCUCCCAAGACAAACCCCAACUUCACUCCAGCCCACUUUCGUGUUUCUUCUUUCCUGACCCUGCCUGUAAGUCAUACAUGGUACAUGGCAUGUACCAGGUGAGAAGCUCAAGGAGAAGGAACUAGGAUGCAUCAUCCCCCCCGAAAAAGAACCAAACUCCCGGAGAGGUGAGGCAGCGCAGCACUGUGAUUUUAUGUGGAGAGCUUGAUUGGGACACACUGGGUUCAAAUCCUGACCCUGCCCUUCACAACCACGUGACCUCGGCAGGUCACUAACCUUUGUGUACCUCCUGAUCCUCAUGUGUAACACAGGGACAAUGACUGUGCCUUGUCACAGCCUCGUUGUAUGGAUUUGAUGAAACGAUGCUCCCGAGGUGUUUAGAACUGUGCAUGGCACAGUCGCACAGACUAAACAGCAGCUUUUAAAAACACAUGCAUCGUGGAGCUCCAUUCUCUCCCCAUCCCCACCUUGUAUCUAUGUUGGUCCAGAUAAUAGGAACAGGAGGGAACAAAUAGGUUCUGGGUGAUUUGCCUGAAGUCAGAUGAGCCAAUAAGAAGCAGAGCUAGGAUUUAAACCCUGGGCUUUCUGGCCCCCAAGUGUCACCCCCUCUGUCUCAGGCAGUAGGCUGCGCAGACUCAGACCCCGCCCGGCCUUCACCCUUCCCUGCCCGCUCUGCCCCUGGAGCAGAGGGCACACACUCCUGCUAUCCCGAGAGCCAGGUAUCUGCCUCACCGGCCUUCUUAGUCCUCCGGCAGACCCUGCCCUGCCGCGGCAGGCCGCCCCCUCCUGCCCUGUGCCCUGCCACCGCCUGCCGUCUCCAGGUUGAGAGGCUCGCUCUUAAAGGGCCCCUGUGGCCACUUACACGCGAAGAAAUCUGGCUGUGGCUGGCGAAGGCCAUCCCCCAAAGCAUGGAUUUUCUGUGACUUGAGACAACAUUUCGCUCGGCCUGAUAAAGUGUUUCCCCAGGGGCAAACGGACCAGCCUCUCCAGCUGCAAAGCCGGGUCUAGAGGGAAAAGAGAAGGAGAAAAAGCAGAAGAGAAGAGAGACAGCAACAGAGAGAAAAAGGCAGAAGGGCCAGUAGCUCGGGAGAGGGGCCGUCCGCUACCAAGUUGCAGUUCCGCAUUAGGCCACGCGAUGUCGCCACAGCCAGAGCAGAACCACAGCCGCAGCAUCCUCAGAGGCGCCCCACGUGCGGCCCCACAGCCCAGCCUGCUCGGGCUUAGGGCAGUCCCGCACCAGAGGGCUAAGGGGCUGCUAUAGAGGAAGUGAGGUCUCUGCUCAGAACGAGGUUGGCAGGACACACUGGGUUACGGGAGAAGCCUUCGUUAAGAAAGGGUCGAUUCAACACAAUCUGACAAAAAAGCUGGAAGGAUUGGCAACUGGAAUUCCGGAACUAGGGCUUGAAACUAGCGGGCCUUUGGAAAAAUCAUUCUAUUGCAGAGGCGCACGCACGAGUGCACGUGUGUGUGUACAUGGGGGCGGUAGUUAUGGUUGUUUUAUUGUGUAGGAGUUGUCUUAUUUUGGAGAACUGCAGGGAUGUAGACAUUUCCCCAUGCCCCUAACUGGCUAUAGCAGCACUUUAUCCUCUGGCCAAGCCUCUGUCUGAGAACCAUGUCUGCUGAGCCUUCUACCUCCAGCGCUGACCUCAAACCCCUUCCAGGUCA
rnacentral:lncRNA from 1 species